UACGAAGGGGGCUAGCGUUGCUCGGAAUCACUGGGCGUAAAGGGUGCGUAGGCGGGUCUUUAAGUCAGGGGUGAAAUCCUGGAGCUCAACUCCAGAACUGCCUUUGGUACUGAAGAUCUUGAGUUCGGGAGAGGUGAGUGGAACUGCGAGUGUAGAGGUGAAAUUCGUAGAUAUUCGCAAGAACACCAGUGGCGAAGGCGACUCACUGGACAUGUAUUGACGCUGAGGUGCGAAAGCGUGGGGGAGCAAACAGG
rnacentral:rRNA from 1 species